GGCAAAGUAGGUAAUCUCCCUCCCCUGGUACUUAGAAACGGCCUAUCAGGGCUCAGUCAUUGCUUUAUAAAGGCUGUGAUUAGGCUACCUGGGAUGCGUCAUUGUUGGCCCCGCCCAUCCGGUACGUGUGCGCUUCCGCCUAACAAAGCUGGAGUCGCCUUUUUGCAGCUUGAAUAGCCCAUUAUUCCUGGCUUCGCUGUGGUUUUCAGGCUGUUCUUGCCACCUGGUUAGACUGAUUUCAUUCAAGUAAUCUUCUGAGACUUGUGCUGUGAGCAACUGUAUGAGGUGUGUGUAACGCUGUAGUCAAUACCUGUAGGACAAAGUUUUGGGAACGUCCGCCUGUUUGCGGGUGGGGAAGAUCGCCUCCUGCAUAAUAGUAGAUUAAAGACGGCGUUGCUGUUUUGCUGUUUUGCUGUUUUGCUGUUUUGCUGUUUUGCUGUUUAAUUAAGUUUUGUUGUGCUCGUAUCAUUGUAUGGUUUUUGGUUAUUGUUUGUUUUCGUUACAAUUGAUUUUUGUUUGAUUUUGAUUUUGUAGUGAUUGUUAAAACUUUUGCUUUAAAUAUAUAUUUCUUUCCUUUUCAUUUCAGUUUUCUUUAAGUGACCAUUGUUCAUUUUUUUUACAUUUUGUUGUGUGUUUUGGUAAUUGUUUCAGUCAAUCAGGCUUUAGAUUAAUUUCGUUUUGUACAUUUGAGUAAUUUGUGUUCUUUGUGUUUUAGGCCCCUGAGUCGGGUGGCUAGCUGUCCUAGUAUCCUGGUGGUGGUGGUGUUUGGAGCACGGAGUGUGGAUUGUCGUUUGUAGUCACUCACCUCACUGUGUGUGUGUGUGUGUGUGUGCUUUUACGAAUAGCCACUUUUGCAGCUAGCCUACCCUGCUAGGGGUAAGCCUUCGUAAAACUGAUUAAUGUAUGCCUGGUCGAAUCAUAUCUUUGCCUAAACUUUUAAAAGGUGUAUUUUCUACUUUGUGAAUUUAAUAAAUAGUUUUAUACGCUAGUGCCUCUGUCUCUGCCUCCUAUGGUAACGAACCUGUGUGUCUAAAUUCCAUCAAGUAUUUAGUUCCCCUCACUUUAGAGGGGUGGCGUAGUCGGUAGUUAUAUCAUAAUUAAUUAACUUCAAGUUGCCACGCCCACAUUCUGGCGUAGUCGGCAGGGUACCGUGUUUGGCGGAGACACUGGUAUUAGUGGUUGUAUUUUUUUUGUUUGUUCUUUUUCUUUUAUUUUUCUGUUGCAGUGAGAUUGGUAAAGAGUAGCAGCAAAACAGCAGCGCACGUCUGGUGGAUUCUUAUUCUUUGUGAGUCUACUCCCUCUUGUUGGUAAGUGUUACGGCCGUCAAAAUUAUGGAAGAAGAGUUACAGGAAUUGAGGGAAGUAGUAGCUCAGUUGCGGGCAGAAAAUGAGAGGUUGCGUCAAGACCACUUUCUUGCGCUUCCUGGCCCUAGUGAUGCCCCUUCUAUUGUUCCUGGUCCUUCUGUUGCUGCCCCCCCUCAGCUAAGUAGUGCACAGGCAGUCCUGCCAGAACGAUUCGUUCUUGUACCUCGAGACAGGAAAUGUCAAAAAUUCAAUGGCAGGGUUGGUCUGAGCAUUGAUGAGUGGGUUGAAGAGGCCAAAGCUUGUAUGCAGGCUCGUCACCUGUCUGUUUCUGAUCAAGCUUUCUUCUUGUUUGACCACUUGGAGGGGGAGGCAAGGGAAGAGAUUAGGUACCGUUCGGAGAUUGAGCGAAAUGAUCCAGAUAAAAUUAUUUUGGUGUUACGGGAAUUAUAUGGUUGCUCACAGUCAUAUGUCUCAUUACAGGAGGCAUUUUUUUCUAGAAAGCAGCAGGAGGGUGAAUCAUUGUUGGAGUUUUCCCUAGCUUUGAUGGGUCUCCUAGAACGUGUGACGCAGCGAUCGCCGUAUGUUAUGCCAAAUUCACAAAUUUUGCUACGCGAUCAGUUCAUUGAACAUGUUUGUGACGUGGCUCUUCGCCGAGAAUUAAAACAGUUAAUAUGUCGUCAGCCAAUGUUAACAUUGUUGGAAGUUCGAAGCGAAGCUCUUAGAUGGGAAAGGGAGGGGAUGUUGGGGAGUACGAGAGGACGAAGCAAUUCCGUUCCAUCCGCCUAUGGGAUCCAGUAUGGUGUACAAGGUGAGUCACGGGUGGGUAGAUUUCCUCAGUCACGUAGUCAGCCUCCUCACCGCGGCCCCAUUAUAUGUAGGAGGUGCCAACGACUUGGCCACUUUGCUGGAGAGUGCGAUGGGGAGCGUGUUCCCCCUCGUCCGCAACCCCCUUUGCCCACUGCGUCGUCAUCUGAGGGUAUACAGCCUGGUCCAUCUGCGUUGUCGGGAAACUAGUCCCCACCGUGUCGCCGAGCCAAGGCGCGGUUGGGGAAUUGACCGGCUCUAGUGUUUCAAGUAUGUCUCAUUUAAUGUCUUCAUGCCCGCACCUUGCUAUUCGAAUGGGUGGGGUCCAAAUUUCAUGUUUGGUCGAUACUGGCUCCAUGGUGUCCACAAUAACGGAAAGUUGGUUUCGUAAAUAUUUUGAACCAUGGGGUCCGGAUCGACUUAAGUCGUGCCAGUGGCUACAACUUCGGGCUGCAAACGGUCUUUCGAUUCCAUAUAUUGGCUACAUGGAACUGGAUGUCGAAUUGUGUGGGCAAGUGAUUUCGGAGUGUGGAGUGCUUGUUGUUCGGGACCCUCCUGGUGGGAUUUGUGACCAAGUCCCAGGGGUACUCGGGAUGAAUGUCCUGAGCCGUUGUUACCAGGAGUUAUUCGGACAACAUGGCCCUGCUCUUUUUGAGUCUGCUGUAACCGUUGAGGCCCCUAGCUUUGUCAUGCAGGCACUUCAAUAUUGUCACCGUUUGGAAGACCAGGGUUCAGUAAGGCACCCUGGUCCGGUUAGGUUACGGGGUCGUGAGUCAUGUCGCAUCCCAGCUGGCACGAUGAAGUUUGUAGCAGCGACUUGUUCUGAACAAUGUGCAGCGGGGGUGGUACUGUUUGAGCCCCCAGAGUCUGGGUUGCCCGCGGGUUUGUUGGCUUCUCCAGCGCUGGUACAGGUCAUAAGAGGCAUUGCCUACUUGCCUAUGGUAAAUGUGGGAACUGCGGAUGUUAUGCUGCAUUCUAAAACCGUUUUGGGAGUGCUAAAUAGUGUUUGUAUGGUAAGUCUGCCUGCUAGGGUAACUGAAGUGAAAUCUGGUGUAGCCAUCAUGGCAAGAGGACCUGUUUCAAGGGUCUCUAGUGUUUCUUGUUGUGUAGCCGUCAAGGCCAGAGGACUUGUACCAAGUUUCUCGUGUUUCUUGUUGAGUAGCCGUCAUGGCAAGAGGACUUGUACGAAGUAUCUCGUGUUUCUCAUGGUGUAGCCAUCAUGGCAAGAGGACCUGUUUCAAGGGUCUCUAGUGUUUCUUGUUGUGUAGCCGUCAAGGCCAGAGGACUUGUACCAAGUUUCUCGUGUUUCUUGUUGAGUAGCCGUCAUGGCAAGAGGACUUGUACGAAGUAUCUCGUGUUUCUCAUGGUGUAGCCAUCAUGGCAAGAGGACCUGUUUCAAGGGUCUCUAGUGUUUCCUGUUGUGUAGCUGUUGUGGCAGAGCACUUGUAACAAGUGUCUCUAGUGUUUCUUGUUGUGUAGCCGUCAAGGCCAGAGGACUUGUACCAAUGGUCUCUCUGUAUUCGCUCUACUAGCUUCCCAUAGCGAAGGUGAGUGUCUUGGGGUUAUCGUCGGGGCGACGAUAAAAUAGCUGGGGCAGAUUGUGGCAAAGUAGGUAAUCUCCCUCCCCUGGUACUUAGAAACGGCCUAUCAGGGCUCAGUCAUUGCUUUAUAAAGGCUGUGAUUAGGCUACCUGGGAUGCGUCAUUGUUGGCCCCGCCCAUCCGGUACGUGUGCGCUUCCGCCUAACAAAGCUGGAGUCGCCUUUUUGCAGCUUGAAUAGCCCAUUAUUCCUGGCUUCGCUGUGGUUUUCAGGCUGUUCUUGCCACCUGGUUAGACUGAUUUCAUUCAAGUAAUCUUCUGAGACUUGUGCUGUGAGCAACUGUAUGAGGUGUGUGUAACGCUGUAGUCAAUACCUGUAGGACAAAGUUUUGGGAACGUCCGCCUGUUUGCGGGUGGGGAAGAUCGCCUCCUGCAUAAUAGUAGAUUAAAGACGGCGUUGCUGUUUUGCUGUUUUGCUGUUUUGCUGUUUUGCUGUUUUGCUGUUUAAUUAAGUUUUGUUGUGCUCGUAUCAUUGUAUGGUUUUUGGUUAUUGUUUGUUUUCGUUACAAUUGAUUUUUGUUUGAUUUUGAUUUUGUAGUGAUUGUUAAAACUUUUGCUUUAAAUAUAUAUUUCUUUCCUUUUCAUUUCAGUUUUCUUUAAGUGACCAUUGUUCAUUUUUUUUACAUUUUGUUGUGUGUUUUGGUAAUUGUUUCAGUCAAUCAGGCUUUAGAUUAAUUUCGUUUUGUACAUUUGAGUAAUUUGUGUUCUUUGUGUUUUAGGCCCCUGAGUCGGGUGGCUAGCUGUCCUAGUAUCCUGGUGGUGGUGGUGUUUGGAGCACGGAGUGUGGAUUGUCGUUUGUAGUCACUCACCUCACUGUGUGUGUGUGUGUGUGUGUGCUUUUACGAAUAGCCACUUUUGCAGCUAGCCUACCCUGCUAGGGGUAAGCCUUCGUAAAACUGAUUAAUGUAUGCCUGGUCGAAUCAUAUCUUUGCCUAAACUUUUAAAAGGUGUAUUUUCUACUUUGUGAAUUUAAUAAAUAGUUUUAUACGCUA